UUUUGAACGACCAACUAAACCUCGUUUUAUUAUAAUCAUAAACUCCAACUAGCAAGAGGUUGGCCAACACAACAAAACCCAAACCAUACACCUAAAAACAACAAUGCAAAACUUAAACAAAGCAACAAGAUCAAAUUUCUUUCAUGCCUCCCAAGACACAUUACUCGACUUCAACGGUACUUAACCCAAAGGAAACUAAGCGCAUUCGACUCCUCAAUCACGGCUGCAAUAUGAGGUUGUUUGUUGUUGAAGACCACAUUAUUUCUUGUUCUCCAUAAGCUCCAUAAAACCGUUAAAAUGACUAUCUGAUACACCUUACGUUGUUUAUUUGACCUGCUAAAGCUCUGAUGUAGCUGUAACAAGUCAUGGAAAAGAUGAGAUUGUUCCUCGCCUUCCAAAGACUCCAACAUCCAAUAAUCAUGAUACCUUGAAGCACUAUGGAUCUUUAAUUCCGCUAACACUAGAAAUCUCCAAUAUAUCUUUGAAACUGACAUCGUAGAUAUUGGGGAUCUUACACCAAUCGCUCACAAACUGCCAAAGAAGCACAACCAUGAU
rnacentral:lncRNA from 1 species